rnacentral:rRNA from 1 species
GAUGAACGCUGGCGGCGUGCCUAAUACAUGCAAGUCGAGCGAACAGACGAGGAGCUUGCUCCUCUGACGUUAGCGGCGGACGGGUGAGUAACACGUGGAUAACCUACCUAUAAGACUGGGAUAACUUCGGGAAACCGGAGCUAAUACCGGAUAAUAUAUUGAACCGCAUGGUUCAAUAGUGAAAGACGGCUUUGCUGUCACUUAUAGAUGGAUCCGCGCCGCAUUAGCUAGUUGGUAAGGUAACGGCUUACCAAGGCAACGAUGCGUAGCCGACCUGAGAGGGUGAUCGGCCACACUGGAACUGAGACACGGUCCAGACUCCUACGGGAGGCAGCAGUAGGGAAUCUUCCGCAAUGGGCGAAAGCCUGACGGAGCAACGCCGCGUGAGUGAUGAAGGUCCUCGGAUCGUAAAACUCUGUUAUUAGGGAAGAACAAAUGUGUAAGUAACUAUGCACGUCUUGACGGUACCUAAUCAGAAAGCCACGGCUAACUACGUG